AAUAAGCACAGUUUUGCACAGCUCAUAUUUAACAUUUGACCGUUUAUCUUAUUUGAAAUUAUUUUAUGAUUAGUAUUUGUAUUGUUAUUAGAUGAUAAAACAUGAAUAGUAUUUUAUGUGUGACUAAUUUUUUAAAUUCUUCAUAAGUUUUUUAAAUAAGACGAACGAUUAAAUGUUGGACACGGAUAGUCACGGCUGCACUUAUU
rfam:Oryza sativa Indica Group scaffold001537 genomic scaffold, whole genome shotgun sequence.